rnacentral:rRNA from 1 species
AUUGAACGCUGGCGGCAUGCCUUACACAUGCAAGUCGAACGGUAACAGGUCUUCGGAUGCUGACGAGUGGCGAACGGGUGAGUAAUACAUCGGAACGUGCCCGAUCGUGGGGGAUAACGAGGCGAAAGCUUUGCUAAUACCGCAUACGAUCUACGGAUGACAGCGGGGGAUCUUCGGACCUCGCGCGGACGGAGCGGCCGAUGGCAGAUUAGGGAGUUGGUGGGAUGAAAGCUUACCAAGCCGACGAUCUGUAGCUGGUCUGAGAGGAUGAUCAGCCACACUGGGACUGAGACACGGCCCAGACUCCUACGGGAGGCAGCAGUGGGGAAUUUUGGACAAUGGGCGAAAGCCUGAUCCAGCCAUGCCGCGUGCAGGAUGAAGGCCUUCGGGUUGUAAACUGCUUUUGUACGGAACGAAAAGCCUCUUUCUAAUAAAGAGGGGUCAUGACGGUACCGUAAGAAUAAGCACCGGCUAACUACGUG